rnacentral:rRNA from 1 species
AGAGUUUGAUCAUGGCUCAGGACGAACGCUGGCGGCGCGCCUAACACAUGCAAGUCGAACGAGCGAGAGAGAGCUUGCUUUCUCGAGUCGAGUGGCGAACGGGUGAGUAACGCGUGAGGAACCUGCCUCAAAGAGGGGGACAACAGUUGGAAACGACUGCUAAUACCGCAUAAGCCCACAGCUCGGCAUCGAGCAGAGGGAAAAGGAGCAAUCCGCUUUGAGAUGGCCUCGGCGUCCGAUUAGCUAGUUGGUGAGGUAACGGCCCACCAAGGCGACGAUCGGUAGCCGGACUGAGAGGUUGAACGGCCACCAUUGGGACUGAGACACGGCCCAGACUCCUACGGGAGGCAGCA